rnacentral:Y_RNA from 1 species
GUUUCUUCUGAGUACAGUGGUGUUUACAACUAAUUGAUCACAACCAGUUACAGAUUCCUUUGUUCCUUCUCCACUCCCACUACUUCACUUGAGCAGACUUAA